rnacentral:rRNA from 1 species
AUUGAACGCUGGCGGCAGGCCUAACACAUGCAAGUCGAACGAGUGGCGGACGGGUGAGUAAUGUAUGGGAAUCUGGCUUAUGGAGGGGGAUAACGACGGGAAACGGUCGCUAAUACCGCGUACUAUCAGAUGAGCCCAUGUGGGAUUAGCUAGUUGGUGGGGUAAAGGCCCACCAAGGCGACGAUCUCUAGCUGGUCUGAGAGGAUGACCAGCCAAACUGGGACUGAGACACGGCCCAGACUCCUACGGGAGGCAGCAGUGGGGAAGAUUGCGCAAUGGGCGCAAGCCUGACGCAGCCAUGCCGCGUGAAUGAAGAAGGCCUUCGGGUUGUAAAGUUCUUUCAGUGGGGAGGCGUUACUCACAGAAGAAGCACCGGCUAACUCCGUGCCAGCAGCCGCGGUAAUAC